GAAACCAACAGGGAUUGCCCUAGUAACGGCGAGUGAAGCGGCAACAGCUCAAAUUUGAAAUCUGGCCUCGGCCCGAGUUGUAAUUUGCAGAGGAUGUUUCUGGCGCGGUGCCUUCCGAGUUCCCUGGAACGGGACGCCACAGAGGGUGAGAGCCCCGUAUGGUUGGACACCAAGCCUAUGUGAAACUCCUUCGACGAGUCGAGUAGUUUGGGAAUGCUGCUCUAAAUGGGAGGUAAAUCUCUUCUAAAGCUAAAUACCGGCCAGAGACCGAUAGCGCACAAGUAGAGUGAUCGAAAGAUGAAAAGCACCUUGAAAAGGGGGUUAAACAGUACGUGAAAUUGUUGAAAGGGAAGCGCUCAUGACCAGACUUGUGCCGGGCGGUUCAUCCGGGGUUCUCCCCGGUGCACUCCGCCCGGUUCAGGCCAGCAUCGGUUCUCGUUGGGGGAUAAGAACGGUAGGAACGUGGCCCUCCCUCGGGAGGGUGUUAUAGCCUGCCGUACGAUACCCUGAUGGGGACCGAGGUUCGCGCUCCGCAAGGAUGCUGGCGUAAUGGUCAUCAGCGACCCGUCUUGAAACACGGACCAAGGAGUCGUCCAUUAGAGCGAGCGUUUGGGUGUAAAACCCGCACGCGUAAUGAAAGUGAAAUUAGGUGAGAGCUUCGGCGCAUCAUCGACCGAUCCUGAUGUUCUCGGAUGGAUUUGAGUAAGAGUUUUAACGGACGGACCCGAAAGACAGUGAACUAUGCUUGUAUAGGGUGAAGCCAGAGGAAACUCUGGUGGAGGCUCGCAGCGGUUCUGACGUGCAAAUCGAUCGUCAAAUAUGAGCAUGGGGGCGAAAGACUAAUCGAACUGUCUAGUAGCUGGUUACCGC
rnacentral:rRNA from 1 species